UACGGAGGGUGCAAGCGUUAUCCGGAUUCACUGGGUUUAAAGGGUGCGUAGGUGGAUUAGUAAGUCAGUGGUGAAAUCUCCGGGCUUAACCCGGAAACUGCCAUUGAUACUAUUAGUCUUGAAUACCGUGGAGGUCAGCGGAAUAUGUCAUGUAGCGGUGAAAUGCUUAGAUAUGACAUAGAACACCGAUAGCGAAGGCAGCUUGCUACACAAUUAUUGACUCUA
rnacentral:rRNA from 1 species